ACUCUGUUGGUAUUUUCCUGGAGAAAAAUUCUUUUGCAUUUGGGAUUUCUGGGCAUACUUCAUCUUGCACAUGAUGACCCGAGACUGAAGUUGGUACAGAAAGGCAUACAAAUUAGAGUUCCACCACCUUUCCAUCCAAUGUGAGAGUGGAAGAGUGAUGGGGAAUGCAUGAACACCAGCAACAGAGUAGAAUAAAGAAGUAGUCUAGAGAUCCGUGAUUUAUUCUCAUGACGAUCAGUAGUAUCAGGUAAUCAUGCAUUCGAAUUUUUGCUGAUUAAGUUGAGAAUCUUUGAAAUAACUAUGGUGGUCUUAUUGGGUUUAAUGAGUUGGUGGAAUUCUUAAUCUCAAAGGUGCCAUUUAAGUACAAUUUUCUCAAGUAAUGAAGUUUAAUAGUGGAUUUUGCUAACUAUUAUCGACCUCAUGUUCCAAAUCCGUAAUUAUUGAUAUUUGCUUAGCCAAAUGACAUUUAAUUAGCGAAAGCAUUCAUGAAAGAAGCCUGAGUUGCUCAAGUUUUUUUUUCUUUUUAGGUGCUUUAAUGUAAUGGAAACGUUUACUUUCUUCAACUAUCGAUCACUUUUUUCCUCAAACCAGUUGCUACUGUGAUAGCAAGAGGGGAGAAAAAUACUACUUGAAACUCUUUUUUUGUUUUAAGAAUUGUUAUGUUUAUUAUCCAUUGUGGUACCAAAAUAGGAAAUUCACGAUUUGCUUAAAAAUUUGUAACAUUGAACCUUUUUGGUCCGUAGAUUAGUAGUUCGACUUUAAUUUGGUUAAUUCUUCUUGCA